GAUGAACGCUGGCGGCGUGCCUAAUACAUGCAAGUCGAGCGAACAGACGAGGAGCUUGCUCCUCUGACGUUAGCGGCGGACGGGUGAGUAACACGUGGAUAACCUACCUAUAAGACUGGGAUAACUUCGGGAAACCGGAGCUAAUACCGGAUAAUAUAUUGAACCGCAUGGUUCAAUAGUGAAAGACGGUUUUGCUGUCACUUAUAGAUGGAUCCGCGCCGCAUUAGCUAGUUGGUAAGGUAACGGCUUACCAAGGCAACGAUGCGUAGCCGACCUGAGAGGGUGAUCGGCCACACUGGAACUGAGACACGGUCCAGACUCCUACGGGAGGCAGCAGUAGGGAAUCUUCCGCAAUGGGCGAAAGCCUGACGGAGCAACGCCGCGUGAAUGAUGAAGGUCUUCGGAUCGUAAAACUCUGUUAUUAGGGAAGAACAAAUGUGUAAGUAACUAUGCACGUCUUGACGGUACCUAAUCAGAAAACCACGGCUAACUACGU
rnacentral:rRNA from 1 species